CAAACACAGAUGCCUUCAGCUGCCAAGUGCACAUGUAACAGGUCAGCCAGUUUCAUAGGUACAGAUGCCCUUUCAAUGGGGUUAGCCCCUAUCCACAGCAUACAUAUUUGGUAAUAAGAUUUUUUUUUUCUCUCACUAAUUUGUAUUCUAAAUGGCUGUAUUAGGCCUCAUGCACAUGAACAUGUGCCAUCUGUGCCCGUAUGGCGACCCGCAAACAGUGGGUCUGCAAUAUACGGGCACUGGCCGUGUGCGCACUGUAUCAUGGAUGCAGACCCAUUCACUUGAUGCGGUGCGGAAUGGAGGCACGGAUUAGAAGCACUGUGAGGUGCUUACUUGGGUUUUCUGUCCAUGCCUCCGCACAGCAAAAAAGUAGUGCAAGCAAGUGAACGGGUCUGCGUCCGCAGACGGUGGGCACACUGCGACUGUGCAUUACAGACCGCAAUUUGCAGUCCGCAGCACACGUUGGUGAACAUGAGGCCUUACCACGGAACAGAAGCUGGGUUCCUAAAUAGUAUUUGGAGCAGUUAACAUGGACUGAUACACAGCGCAAUGAUCAGGAAUGACCCAUUCAUUUCUGAUCAUUCAGCUGCAUCUUCAGUCCAUGUAAAACGGCCUUAAAGAUUUUCUCCAAAGGUUGUGUACGUUUUUGGAAACUUUUUUUUUUUUUUCUUUUCUUAUUUUCUUAAGUGAUGUAAAAUAAAGCAACGUUUAAAGGGGUUUUCCAAGUGUCUAUCUGUUAUG